rnacentral:lncRNA from 1 species
CCUGCCCCUCGCCCCAGCAGCCGAAGCCUCAGUUCCAGUGCAGAAACAAAAUAAACCAUGAGAGGAAGUGCGGUUAAAAACACCCGGGACAUCAAGUUCUCAACAGCCUCGCUGGCUUUGUGCUGCGGCGCUCUAAGGGAAGGAUGGUGUGAGUAACCUGUGGGAACGGGGCGUGCUGCAGCAAGCAAGCGUUUCGCGCCGCGCUGCCAGGCCCCACCUGGCAUUGACGCAGAGAGCAUCGUCGCUGACACACAGAACGAGCUUCUCCCUCCGGGCGAGCCUCCCUCCUGCCAAGGGGCCCACGGGGACCACUACAAAGCUCAAUGCGCCCUUCUUCCUUCCUGCCUCUGCUCACAGUGCCCCAGGGCUCUCUUAGCUCUUGAAGCCGCGCUGCGGGUGCUGUGGGCAAGGCUGGCAUAGGGCGGUGGGGACCCUGCGACGACCCGUGGUCGCUCCCAGACAUCUACGACACCUGUAUGUGCGGGGGUCAGACUGAGCUGGGAUUUAUCCUACAAAGGCAUUUCUUUGUCCCCUGAGGCACGGAGCAGCAGAACUCGUGAAACGCCGAGCCAGGGAGAAGUCGGACAAUUACUCAGAUGUCACCAGGCUCUCACAUUACAGAUGGGCGUAGGCAAGGAACCACAGUGACGCUUUGCCGAGUGCCUGCAGCUAACAUGAUCUCCAACGUGCAGGUCAAGAAUGCAUUUCCCACAAGAGAAAACUGGCAGGGACUAUGACAUUUUUUCCUCAUUUUAAAAGCAGAAGCAAGGACCAGAACAAGAUGAGGUGGGAGUAUCUAUAUCAUAGGUUCCCAGUAAUCUCUGUCUAUUACUUUACUUUCACGGAGACCCUAGACACAAGGCUUCUCUGUGGAGACAGUCAACAAGUGCUCAAUUGGUGGCAAUUGUCAUGGGGAGCUUGUGAUGUGGAUACUCAGACCAUCAACAUAUUUCACAAGAGCCACUGAAAGGCCUUUCCUCUUCAGACUGAAUGAUAACAGUUCAGGACCAGUUCUGUGAGUCAGAGGGCACUGAAAAAGUAAAAAUUGCCUUUACCUGGAGCUGGACUGGAUUUUAUAUUUCUGGCAUUCAUGUUUCUUCUUUACUUUUUACAUUUCACUCAGACUGAGCAGGGAAACUAAACAGACUCAACUCCCUGACCACUCCUCACUGUCAGAUGUGGGGAAGAAUAAUGGCAGUCCUAGUCCUAGCAGUGGGACCACACAGAAUAGACGUGGGAAAAGCAAAGUAAUCCAUGCUUCUGCCAGCUCUGGCCUUUUCACAGUUAAUCCCUAUCCCCCAGAAAAAAAGGGGAAAAAAAUGUUCUUUUUCAAAAUCACGAUUGUACAAAUUAUUACCUUGAACUCUAUUGUCUAUCAUUCUGUAACACAGUUUCAUGCGAGAAUAUUUCUACAAAUGCCUAUGAGUACAGAGCCUAUUUCACUACCUAAAUAAAUCUUCUAGGACCCAAUAGGAAAAUAUAGCA